rnacentral:rRNA from 1 species
AACGAACGCUGGCGGCAUGCCUAACACAUGCAAGUCGAACGAAGUCUUCGGACUUAGUGGCGCACGGGUGCGUAACGCGUGGGAAUCUGCCCUUGGGUGCGGAAUAACUUCUCGAAAGGGAUGCUAAUACCGCAUAAUGUCGUAAGACCAAAGAUUUAUCGCCCAAGGAUGAGCCCGCGUAAGAUUAGCUAGUUGGUGGGGUAAAAGCCUACCAAGGCGACGAUCUUUAGCUGGUCUGAGAGGAUGAUCAGCCACACUGGACUGAGACACGGCCCAGACUCCUACGGGAGGCGAACAGUGGGGAAUAUUGGACAAUGGGCGAAAGCCUGAUCCAGCAAUAGCCGCGUGAGUGA